rnacentral:rRNA from 1 species
AUUGAACGCUGGCGGCAUGCCUUACACAUGCAAGUCGAACGGCAGCGCGGACUUCGGUCUGGCGGCGAGUGGCGAACGGGUGAGUAAUACAUCGGAACGUACCCUGUUGUGGGGGAUAACUAGUCGAAAGAUUAGCUAAUACCGCAUACGACCUGAGGGUGAAAGUGGGGGACCGCAAGGCCUCACGCAGCAGGAGCGGCCGAUGUCUGAUUAGCUAGUUGGUGGGGUAAAGGCCCACCAAGGCGACGAUCAGUAGCCAGUCUGAGAGGACGAUCAGCCACACUGGGACUGAGACACGGCCCAGACUCCUACGGGAGGCAGCAGUGGGGAAUUUUGGACAAUGGGGGCAACCCUGAUCCAGCAAUGCCGCGUGUGUGAAGAAGGCCUUCGGGUUGUAAAGCACUUUUGUCCGGAAAGAAAUCGCGCUGGUUAAUACCUGGCGUGGAUGACGGUACCGGAAGAAUAAGCACCGGCUAACUACGUG